GGGUUGUGAGGUUAAGCGACUAAGCGUACACGGUGGAUGCCCUGGCAGUCAGAGGCGAUGAAGGACGUGCUAAUCUGCGAUAAGCGUCGGUAAGGUGAUAUGAACCGUUAUAACCGGCGAUUUCCGAAUGGGGAAACCCAGUGUGUUUCGACACACUAUCAUUAACUGAAUCCAUAGGUUAAUGAGGCGAACCGGGGGAACUGAAACAUCUAAGUACCCCGAGGAAAAGAAAUCAACCGAGAUUCCCCCAGUAGCGGCGAGCGAACGGGGAGCAGCCCAGAGCCUGAAUCAGUAUGUGUGUUAGUGGAAGCGUCUGGAAAGGCGCGCGAUACAGGGUGACAGCCCCGUACACAAAAAUGCACAUGCUGUGAGCUCGAUGAGUAGGGCGGGACACGUGGUAUCCUGUCUGAAUAUGGGGGGACCAUCCUCCAAGGCUAAAUACUCCUGACUGACCGAUAGUGAACCAGUACCGUGAGGGAAAGGCGAAAAGAACCCCGGCGAGGGGAGUGAAAAAGAACCUGAAACCGUGUACGUACAAGCAGUGGGAGCACGCUUAGGCGUGUGACUGCGUACCUUUUGUAUAAUGGGUCAGCGACUUAUAUUCUGUAGCAAGGUUAACCGAAUAGGGGAGCCGAAGGGAAACCGAGUCUUAACUGGGCGUUAAGUUGCAGGGUAUAGACCCGAAACCCGGUGAUCUAGCCAUGGGCAGGUUGAAGGUUGGGUAACACUAACUGGAGGACCGAACCGACUAAUGUUGAAAAAUUAGCGGAUGACUUGUGGCUGGGGGUGAAAGGCCAAUCAAACCGGGAGAUAGCUGGUUCUCCCCGAAAGCUAUUUAGGUAGCGCCUCGUGAAUUCAUCUCCGGGGGUAGAGCACUGUUUCGGCAAGGGGGUCAUCCCGACUUACCAACCCGAUGCAAACUGCGAAUACCGGAGAAUGUUAUCACGGGAGACACACGGCGGGUGCUAACGUCCGUCGUGAAGAGGGAAACAACCCAGACCGCCAGCUAAGGUCCCAAAGUCAUGGUUAAGUGGGAAACGAUGUGGGAAGGCCCAGACAGCCAGGAUGUUGGCUUAGAAGCAGCCAUCAUUAAAGAAAGCGUAAUAGCUCACUGGUCGAGUCGGCCUGCGCGGAAGAUGUAACGGGGCUAAACCAUGCACCGAAGCUGCGGCAGCGACGCUUAUGCGUUGUUGGGUAGGGGAGCGUUCUGUAAGCCUGUGAAGGUGUGCUGUGAGGCAUGCUGGAGGUAUCAGAAGUGCGAAUGCUGACAUAAGUAACGAUAAAGCGGGUGAAAAGCCCGCUCGCCGGAAGACCAAGGGUUCCUGUCCAACGUUAAUCGGGGCAGGGUGAGUCGACCCCUAAGGCGAGGCCGAAAGGCGUAGUCGAUGGGAAACAGGUUAAUAUUCCUGUACUUGGUGUUACUGCGAAGGGGGGACGGAGAAGGCUAUGUUGGCCGGGCGACGGUUGUCCCGGUUUAAGCGUGUAGGCUGGUUUUCCAGGCAAAUCCGGAAAAUCAAGGCUGAGGCGUGAUGACGAGGCACUACGGUGCUGAAGCAACAAAUGCCCUGCUUCCAGGAAAAGCCUCUAAGCAUCAGGUAACAUCAAAUCGUACCCCAAACCGACACAGGUGGUCAGGUAGAGAAUACCAAGGCGCUUGAGAGAACUCGGGUGAAGGAACUAGGCAAAAUGGUGCCGUAACUUCGGGAGAAGGCACGCUGAUAUGUAGGUGAAGUCCCUCGCGGAUGGAGCUGAAAUCAGUCGAAGAUACCAGCUGGCUGCAACUGUUUAUUAAAAACACAGCACUGUGCAAACACGAAAGUGGACGUAUACGGUGUGACGCCUGCCCGGUGCCGGAAGGUUAAUUGAUGGGGUUAGCGCAAGCGAAGCUCUUGAUCGAAGCCCCGGUAAACGGCGGCCGUAACUAUAACGGUCCUAAGGUAGCGAAAUUCCUUGUCGGGUAAGUUCCGACCUGCACGAAUGGCGUAAUGAUGGCCAGGCUGUCUCCACCCGAGACUCAGUGAAAUUGAACUCGCUGUGAAGAUGCAGUGUACCCGCGGCAAGACGGAAAGACCCCGUGAACCUUUACUAUAGCUUGACACUGAACAUUGAGCCUUGAUGUGUAGGAUAGGUGGGAGGCUUUGAAGUGUGGACGCCAGUCUGCAUGGAGCCGACCUUGAAAUACCACCCUUUAAUGUUUGAUGUUCUAACGUUGACCCGUAAUCCGGGUUGCGGACAGUGUCUGGUGGGUAGUUUGACUGGGGCGGUCUCCUCCUAAAGAGUAACGGAGGAGCACGAAGGUUGGCUAAUCCUGGUCGGACAUCAGGAGGUUAGUGCAAUGGCAUAAGCCAGCUUGACUGCGAGCGUGACGGCGCGAGCAGGUGCGAAAGCAGGUCAUAGUGAUCCGGUGGUUCUGAAUGGAAGGGCCAUCGCUCAACGGAUAAAAGGUACUCCGGGGAUAACAGGCUGAUACCGCCCAAGAGUUCAUAUCGACGGCGGUGUUUGGCACCUCGAUGUCGGCUCAUCACAUCCUGGGGCUGAAGUAGGUCCCAAGGGUAUGGCUGUUCGCCAUUUAAAGUGGUACGCGAGCUGGGUUUAGAACGUCGUGAGACAGUUCGGUCCCUAUCUGCCGUGGGCGCUGGAGAACUGAGGGGGGCUGCUCCUAGUACGAGAGGACCGGAGUGGACGCAUCACUGGUGUUCGGGUUGUCAUGCCAAUGGCACUGCCCGGUAGCUAAAUGCGGAAGAGAUAAGUGCUGAAAGCAUCUAAGCACGAAACUUGCCCCGAGAUGAGUUCUCCCUGACUCCUUGAGAGUCCUGAAGGAACGUUGAAGACGACGACGUUGAUAGGCCGGGUGUGUAAGCGCAGCGAUGCGUUGAGCUAACCGGUACUAAUGAACCGUGAGGCUUAACCUUACAACGCCGAAGGUGUUU
rnacentral:rRNA from 1 species